UCCAGUUUCUCUUUACAUGAUGCUGAGCCUGUUGUCAGAACACAUUGUGUAAUGUUUCUACAGUAUGGGAGUCAAGUGCAAGCUGAGGUGCUUUGUAGAGAAGAGAGGGCUCCCGGGGUGCAGGAGAUGCAGGUCUUCCUGGUGACCCUGAUGGAGCUGAAGAGCACAGGAAGAGUGAAUUCCAGGUUAGGGGUCAGAAACAUCUGUAUUUCUAGCACAGAGAAGUUCUGUCUUCUCUGUCUUAACUAAUAAAAGUUUUGCAAGAAUGCAACUUUUGCUACUUUUUUUCAGUUGGAGCUUUUAAUAGCCAGUGUUGAGAAGUGAUGCUGGUGUUUGGAGACUUCCAGAAGUCUGUUUUCUUUAGAUUUCUUCCCCCUUAUAGCCUUAAACUUGAUUUUUUCCUGAAGUUAUACUGUGCGGUGGGAGAAGAGGUCCCCUCUUGUCUUAUUUUGCAAGGUUGUGCUGAAAUAAAUGCAUGUAGUAGGCUGAGAAAUGCUUUCAUCUUUGAAUUACAAAAUGCAAAUUCUAGACCAUCUGUAUAGAUGUCCUUCCUCCGCUCCCCCCCAUCUGCUUAACAGCCUACAUCAGAUGUAGAAUAUUUCUUCGAGUUAUCAUGCUGUACUCCAGUUUGACAAAGCAUUUCUUGCACCAUGGAAGAGAGUUGAGAGCUUAUUCUGCAGUUCUUAUCCUUAAAAAGAAAGAAACAACACAUUUUCUGUAUUAUCUAUGCUUUGUAUGCAUCCUGGAAAAUGAUUAGGCGUGGGAAAACUGCAGAAAGCCUGCUUGCUGGAUGUAGGCCAACUAGUGGGUGGGAGGCAGCAGCACUUUGGAAUUUCAUAGAUGGAAAUCUCCGAAGAAUUGUAAUGUGAAUGUGGCUUUAUGGCGUUUGCAGUGGUAUAGGCAGUAGUAAGCAAUGUGAGCAUGGUGUGCCCAGAGAGUUCUUGCUUUUUUUUUUUUUUUUUUUUUUUUUUUUGUGACUACAAUAUAUUAAAUACAAAUAUUUCAGUGUUUCUCUGCUAGAAGUUGUAGGCUGUUGCUUCCUUAAAGCAAGUGUAUGUAAAUUUAAUUACACCAAGACGUCACCAAAUUUGUAUGUGUGCAUGAUUUUGAAGCAAUGGAAUGGAAUCUUAAUAUUGGCAAAAAAGAGGGAAGACCUUGGAAAAUUUUACUGCUCUUUUUAUCUUACUGCUUUCAGUUUAAGUAAGGGAAAGUUUGGCAUUGCUCUGUACAUGAAAUGUUUGAGCACUACAGCAUCGUAUUUUCAGUUGAUAAUCCUUUUAGGAAGAUUUCAUUAAUUCAUAACUUAUCUCUGAAAUUUUGUGGAAGUAUAUGUUAAUAUUUUGCCUUAGAGAUGGUUAGAAUUUUUUUUUCCCCCUUUUUAAGUUCUUCCCCCAAGAAGCCUCUAAACUCCGAAAUGUGAUCAGGAUCUACUUCACCAUCCUGUACUGUUAUUGUUAUUUGAAUGUUCAGAGACAUUUGGUCUGAUGCUUAGAGAGUUACUUCUCACAGCAAAGACAAAGUAGGAACUACAAUGCACAUGUUUAUAGCUUGUGGGAUUUGUUCUUUUGCCUUUAUUUCCAGUUGUGGAGUCAAGUGAAUGCUAUAACAUGUCUUAAUUUGGCACUUCAACACUUCAUUACUAAAAUUUAGAGGGUGUUUUUGAAAGCUAAUUGUUUUAGAAAACAGGAGUGUUCAACAAGCUAAAACUUGGGCAAUGGGAGAAAUAAAUAUCCCUUCCACACCUCCUUGAACUUUGAAAUGAAAAGUCUGAGGGCUCUAAAUGCCGCAUAUGAUUUUAGCUUUUUCAAAGCGCCUGCGUUUACAAUGUAAUUGUAUCCCUCUGAUUUGAUCUAUAUGACUUCUGUCUUUGAAUUUUAGAAUUCAACCAAUAGCUUUUAUUUUUUAGUACCUGACCAGGUUUAUUGAUGUUUCCAAAACAUUUUGAGAAGAUACACUAUAGGCUAUUUGUUAACCUUCUGUUCUAUGUUGGAAGCUGUUCUUUAAGGCAUCUAGCUUUUGGUCUUAAGCAAGUAAUGUGUGUAACAUUGUGCUGUAGGUUUACCUGUAGUGUUGACUCUCUUCUUUUGUUCAAUCUUUUUUUCUAUGGGAAGCAGAUCAAAAUAAAUAUCUAUUUACUUGUGCAUAUCUAAUUGCUAAUUGUAUGAAAGAGAGACUGUAAUUAGAGACAGUGUUGAAAGGAAGAGCCCAAGAAUCACCCAUGAAGCCUGAUUAGUUGUUGGUCAGUCUGUCUGGAUGUGUUAUAAUGGUUGUAGGCAACAUUGGUCCAGAUAGCUGAAGGAUACUAGCACAUAAAGUGCUGGGCUAUUUAAGUUCUGCUCCUUGCAGCGUUUGUUUGUCCAGAUGCUGAUUCUUAUUUAUGUUUCUGCCUUGUUGCCUUCAGUUUUUUGAAUGUUUUUAAAGACGCUGACUCAUGAACUAGAUUACCUUGUAAUAUGGUAUUCAGCUUAGUUUGAUUAAUAUUUUAUGUGCGUUCUUUUACUUGUUAGUUACCUUUUAAGCCACUGGAGGAUGUUGUAAAUGCUUCUCCAGCCUCUUGCCACGGCAUCUCUGCUGAAGGUUACAGUGGACAGGGAGAAAGUCUGAGGUUUUCACCUGGCUUAAUGUUAUGCAGCCUGCUAAAUAUGCUGUAAACAAAGUUGUUUACAGCUUUAAGGGAGCACGUAUGAUGAAAGUAUUUCCUUGCUGCAAAAAGACUUAAGAGCUCUUAAAUAUGAUUAUUAACAACUGCAAGAAAAAACGGUAAUUCUCACAUUUAAUGUAUGCUGUUAGCAACCAGCAAGGCAUUGAUAAGAUCAUGUUCAUCACCGUUCAGGUUUAGCACUGUUUGUAGGCUAGAAAGGCAUGUGAGGUUUACACAGGCAGGCUGCUUGGGAAUGUUCUCCUUCUCCUUACUGCCUUUCUCCUGAAACUGGUGGCAUGUUCAGACAUCUGAAGUGUACAGUCAGGCCACUUAUAGGCAGAUGACUGUCAGUGAGUCACACUAAUCCAUUUCACUUUCUUGUGAUACAAUAAAGGGUAAUUGCAAGGGUGAGGAAGCGACCUCAUUUGUGAGAGAGGCAUAUCUCUUUAGUCUUGGGAAUGGGAAGAUCACGUUUGCUGUGUUAAGAGUAACUUAGAGAAUAUGCCAUUUCCUCAGCAUAUUUUUCAUGUUGCUAUUAUCUCCAGGAAUUUACUGCAUUUUCAGUAUUUGCUAUUUUCAUUAUAGAAGUCAGGGAUGCUGCUUUUGCUCCAGAAUACUUGCAUUCUUACUGUAGUGCAUGUAACGUUUAAUGCAGAUCUGUCUUUCUGGACCACGAGCUUCCUGCUUGUUUUCACUGUUUUCAUUGCUUUGUGGAAUUAGAUAUUAUUGAUGCUUUCAAAUUAAGCUUGAAACAACACCUGCCACUAAACACCUAACCUUAAUCUGAACUUGUGUGGGGUGGGAAAAGUCAUGGGAGUGUGGUUUCUGAGGAAAUAAGGAAGUUACCUUUCCUAGAUAAGAUAUAGUCUCUUCUACCCCAUCAGCCCUGUGUGGUACAGAGCCCCAGAAGUCUCGAUUCUGUUGAAUCCAUGUUCUGCAGUCACGUUUUCUGGUAUAUAAAUUCAGAUGAUCUUUUAUUCUAUAUUCAGAUGAACUUUUCUGCUGUUUUGGGAGAUCAGAAUACAAGAGCAUAGGUCAAAAUCUAUGGAGAUAAGAAAUGGGGGAUUCUGAACAAACAUUAGUGGAGAAAAUAAUCUAGUGCAUUAAUACAAUUUACUUAGAUUUGCAGAAUUUCACGGAAUAUUUUGUAAGUCUUUGUAAAACAUUUGUGAGAAAAAAUGGUGUGAACUAAUUUGACAGAGAACCAUGUUUCUAGUGACCUUUUAAAUCUUUUGUUAAUCAGGUUUAUCUUGAAAGCACUGAAGACUGUUUUACUCUAAACAUAAUAAUUGCAGAUGAUAUGAGUAUGUCUGUUUUCCCAGUGCUGUAAUUGCAAAUCCUUAGUCUCCUAAAGGCACCUGUUUUGCUGUCAUCAAUUUCUAUUUGAGUGGAAAAUGUUAUCCAAAUUAUUAAAUAUCUCUUGGAUUGAAUCCUGAGCUGCAGUAUACUAUGAUCUGGAGAAGAAAGUGCAGCAGAAGAAUAAAUAGUCUUCUCCAUCAUAGAACUUGGAUUUUACAAAGGGGUAGCUUCAUACAGUUAAUUCAAGCUUGUAUAUUUUCUGAAUAAUUUCACAUUCUAGACAUUGAAAUCCAUGGCUGUUUAAUGUCUUAAUGAAAUCUUUGAGGAAGCUACAUUCCUGUCAACAGGGAAGUUGAAACAAAGGAGAGAUUUUGCGGUUUAUGAAUUAAACAAUUUUUUAAACUAUAUCCCUGUAUCUAAUACAUUGCUCUAUUUUAAAUCAGUUAUUAAUCUGAGCUGUUACAUAUUGACAUUAAACAGUUUAAACCAGCUAAGUUGCAUCUACUAAUUAUACUAAAUGAAUCAGAUCAGUAAGAUGAGAAUUUUGCCUAGUAUAAACAUCUUGUUUGUAUGGAGGACUAGUAAUUAACACUGUCGGAUUGGAACUUAAGAGUUAUUGCAAUGCAGGAAUAUUCUUAAUAGUGAUUUGUUUGUUUGCUUUGAGUUUUCUAUCUUCAUCCUGAGACUGAUACCUGUGGAAGCCUGCCAAGCUUUGUGUUGAUCUCUGAUACUAGGGCUGCUUUGAAAGUAAUGCCUCCUAUUUUGGCCAGUGGCAUGCUGAGAGUGUUUUAUAGUUCAGAAUGAGCUCCAUCAAAUCUUGUUGUUAUGCUCUUUGUAUCUUUUAUAGUUAUAUAAAGUAUAUAACUAUACUUAUAGUUUUAUAGUUUUUAUAGGAGGCAUUAUGUUCAGAAUCAUCUAGUAUGUAAACUGCUCUAUGAUAAUCAAUUGGUAACCAGUUGUUGCCAUUGUCACUUCAGUACUCGUGUGUGGAACUUUCAAACACAGCUAAUGAGGUGAUUGAUAAUUGUAUUGGGAGUUUUUACGAAGAACUUCCACUGUAAAUUAUAAAUUUGUUGCAGCUUUUUGGCCCUCAAGAUCUUAAACGGAAUGGGAAUAAUUCCAAGUGUCAUGGUUUUGUGUUUUUUGGUUUUCGGUAUUCCACAUCAUAACAUCAUGUGGGGCACUGGGACUUUAACUGAGUACCUGCCCAGAAGAGAAGAACUACAUUCCCCAGGGGACUUGGCGGUCAGGGAGAGGAGGUUCAACUCCUGGCAAGGUCACCUGAUGUGCUCUUUCUCGCCUACCUUUCGUCGUGGGCGCUGCUCGUUCUCCCUGCUGAUCACCUGGACUGCGCAUCUCACCUCAGCGUUGUGGUGAGGCCUAUCCACCUUUUGGACAUUCUCUCUCUCAUUAUAUUUGAUUUAUUAGCUUCAAUUCUGAUUAUAUUGUAUUAUAGUGUGUUAUCUUGCAUUCCGAUAAUAUAUUUAGUAAAUGAGUUUGUUUCUCCUCAGAUCGGUGCCACUGUUUUUAAUUAUUUUGGGGUUCCCUGUUUCCCUUUUUCCGGAGGCGUGGAUCUGUGGAUCCCUCUGCCCUGCUUGUCACGGAACUGGGCCGAACCAGACCGUAAACAGUUGACACCAAGAAUUCAUGGAAAAAAAAAAAAAGAGUCUUUGACAACAAACCAAAGCUAACCAAACUGGUGGAAUGGAACCUGAAAUCACUCUAGCUUUUACACAGCCUUGUGUUGGCACUGCAGCAGUUGAUGGCUGCUUGCUGGCUAGAGCAGGUUUUGGGAACAGUUUACUGAUGCACAAAGUAAAAUCUAAUGGUGAUUUUUAUUCCUGUGUGUGUUUCUGAACAAACAGAAAUUGAAAUUCACUAUCGCUUCUGCAUGUGAACCCCAGGCGCCUGGUUUACUGUGUUUUUUAAUGUAUCUGUAAUUUCAUAUGUUUACUUUUUUUAUAAAUGACUUGAUCACUAAUUUUAUUCAGAUGGAUGCGCUAUUGUAGUUAUACUUAGCAGUUUGCUUGACAGCCCUUUUCCCCUCCUUAAAUGUGAUUUACCCAGAAUAGCAUCUGGCCGUCACACUACAGUGGAACUAGAUCAUCCAGUCUACUGCUAUUACAAAGAAAAAUGAGGCUUGACACAUUUGUGUCAAUUUGGCUAGAUCCCUGACUGAUUAUGCUCAAUGAAAUAUGUGACGUUUCAAGUGGUCGUGUAAUGUGCAGGAGCACUUGCAGGAGGAACAUCGGGUGCUGCAAAGGAAAUGCCACCUUUACUGGUUCUGAAUGGCUCAAGUACUGCCAUGAGUUACCUGAUCAAUUCUCGGUUCUUGUCCAUUAAGGUAUAAAGCAGUGCAAAUUAAAAAAAAAAAAAAAAAAAAAAAAAAAAAAUAUAUAUAUAUAUAUAAUA